GAUGAAGAACGUAGCGAAAUGCGAUACGUAAUGUGAAUUGCAGAAUCCAGUGAAUCAUCGAAUCUUUGAACGCACAUUGCGCCUGCCAGCACUCUGGCAGGCAUGCCUGUUCGAGCGUCAUUUCAACCAUCAAGCCCUAGGCUUGCGUUGGAGCCCUGCGGCUGCCGCAGGCCCCUAAAAGCAGUGGCGGGCUCGCUAUCACACCGAGUGCAGUAGAUUACUCUUCGCUCAGGGCGUGUGGCGGGUUCCAGCCGUGAAACCCCCUACUUCUCAAGGUUGACCUCGGAUCAGGUAGGAAUACCCGCUGAACUUAAGCAUAUCAAUAAGCGGAGGA
rnacentral:misc_RNA from 1 species